UACGGCACCAAUCUUCUGCCCAGACCGACACGCCUGAAGCCACCGAUGGCCUUGCUCGCCAGACCGACGCGAAGGGCGUCAGUUAGCAGCGCACGGACCUUCUCGCAAUAGCAACGCCACGACCAGUUCUUUCCCUCGCCACUUCGGCCUUUUCCUCUUCAGUCCGCAUAAACUGCGAGGAAGGUGAGCAAUCGGUCGCCUCAUAUUCUCCCCACGAAGCGCCCUUCUCCCAUCCCAAAUCCCAAACACUCUCUCCUCAUCGCGAAAUUAAAGGGCAUCUCUCUGCCUUCCCUUUGCGCUGCAAGGUCACAAAGGAAUAUGCAAAAUCGGCGGAUAUAGCAGCCUGGCAGGGAACCUCCGUCCAAAGGUGAGUUUCUCUGGCCUUGAAUCGGAUUUGCACCGUUGUAUUUGGUCCUGUGUAGGUAAGGCUGGACUGCGUGCUGGAGAAGGUGGAUCUGGACGGUCCUAUCUUUUUUGAGUCCAUGGCCAAGGUAUGUCCUUCCACCCUCUUUUUUCUUAGAUUUUCUGAACCUUCUCUUUUUGAUUUCAGCAUGUUGUGGUCUGGAGAUUUUGGAACCUCGCGUACCUACCUCAUUCUAUCUGAUACAUUGUUGAGCCCAAAUCACGUGUGGUAUCAUAUAUACUCCGUAAUUGUGAUUAGCUGAUGCAUAAAUUUGUGAAUUAUUCUGUUGCUGUUGUAGAUUCGUUCUCCCUGGUUUAAGAUUGGUGUAGCCGUCGACAACCAUCCCUGCUCGUGAUGCCGUCGCUGGCACCAGCCUCCACUCCAGAUUUUGAUUCUCCCUUUCUUUUUUUAUCAAUAUGUUAGGCUGCGCACUGGCUCCAAACCUUCUCGACGUUUUGCCUCCCCGUGACUUGGUUGUAUUUUCAUUGGAUAAUGCCUGCUGCUGAUUCAAGCCCACUCCGAUUUAAUUGGAUUUUGUGUAUUGGUGGCUCAAGCAAAUACGAAGAAGCUAUCCUCACGUCUACAGCUUAUGAACGUUAGACAACAGUUGCUGUUUCCAUAGAUGAUUUGCAGUUGUAUUGGGGUCUAAGGAGUUCUCUAUCUGUUUUACAAUUUAGUUCAUAACAAUCAUUCUGAUUUCCGAAGCAAGACUACUAAAAGUAGGGUCAUAUGUCCAUCGAUCCAUUAUACAUGACUGUUUCUCUCAUCAUGGUAUUCCAUAUUUCUUUUUCAAUCUACAUGUGACGUCUCUUCACUUUGCUUGAUUUCUAUUAAACACAUUCGUUUCUUUAUGGCCUACAUAGUACAGAACUACAGAUGUACCACCCAUGAUGAUCUCAGAAUGUAAGGUGUAAGUGGACUUUCAACUUACUUUACAUAUAUGGUGUAUAUGUAUCAUAGUAGUUUCUGGUUUUUUUUCAUUUUCCCUGUGGCUUACUGGUCUUACAACAUUGAUAGGAAAGUCACCACUUCUACAAAACCAGAAAAGCAAAGAGCGGAGCAACCAUGCAAGGAGACAAUUGCCCAAGUCAACCACGCAUUGUUGCAUAUUUCUACAGAACAAACACAUACUUAUCUUAUAAAUUUGUAAUUGUUGUAGUUUAUUAAUCACAGUGAGUCGCUUAUCUGCAUCUCACACAAACAACGCCAGCCAUCACACUCUCUCUAAAGGUACCAAUACUCAAGUAUUAGGGGAUUAUUUGGUAAUUCACUUUACUUUAGGUUUUCAACUUUUGAACUAUAUAUAGUUCUAGCAAAUACUGCGAAGGGUCUAAAGACUAUUUAUUAUUACUUAUUUCCUCAACACUUUGUGACCAACAGAUUAAAAUGUCAGGUCCUCUCUUUCUCUCCAAUUGCAGGAAGGUGCUGUUAUAACCCCUUAAUACCACCAUCCCUUAUUUAACAACAACAGCCCCAUUUCUUUCAUUCAGAAAAAAAUACAAAUAUAACUUGCUACAGCCUUCUCCUGUCUGUGAAACAUGGAGCCACAACAAGCAAAACAGCAUGCCAAGGAUGCCAACAAUAUAUGUACUUCCAACUCAUCAUCAAAUCCAUCGAAGCUAGCCAGAUGUGUAUAGAGGCAAUACAGAAACUCAGGGAGAGUAAACGAGCACUGCAUUGAACUUUCCAUGAGAGGAGCAAAUACUGAACUUCACAUCCGGACAUCACAAUCAUAACUGGAUCUGAUCAUCCAUUUUUCACAAUUGAAUACACCAAACAUGAAAAAAAAAAUAGCUAUCCUUUCCGGUGAGAAGAUCUACAAAGGCACUGAAUAGUUAUGAAUUCACUCAUCGAGUACUCAUAUCAUGUAAUAAAAAAAUCAUUGACUUUGAAAUCAUGUAAUGCCCUGUUUUAUAUUAAAGUUUUCAAACUGCUCUAUAAAUUCUUAUAA